GGUUUCCUAUUAGAAGAAACAAACACAUUAUACAUUAUAUUGACGUAUAUAAACUGAUAAAAACAUAUUUGAUUUCAUUCUCGUUAUUUAGGGAGAAUAUGCUUAAAAUUAUCAAAUUUGUUUAUGUUAAAAUUUUAAUUCUUUCCCUAUUUGGUUUUGUAAUGAAUGCUGAUUGGGAUAGGUUUGGUGAUCGGUUUCCAUAUCAUUGGGCUAAACUUUGUUCUCUACAUUCUAAUUGUCCAUAUGAUAUGUGCAAGCCUCCUUUUAAAGCAGCAUGUAUUGACAGGAUAUGUAAGUGUCGAUUCUAUAAAAUCGAAAACUAAAAGAGUACAUAAACUCUUUGUUAGAAUAUUUUAUGAGCUAUUCUUUAGUUAUUGUAUUGAUACUCAAUAAAAAUUGAAGUUAUGGAUAUGUAUUAAUAGAUUACGGUAACAAAAUAUGUCAUCGUUAAUAGUUGAAUUUAAGAUUAGUUUUAAUGUUAUUUCUACUCAAAGAAAUCUACAUUAUCAUACCCACAUUUAAACUAAUGUUGUAAUUUAUAUAUUCAUUAAUAUUCCUUGUUAAUUUUAAAUUAGAAUAGUCAUCCCAAAUAUAAAAGAAUUAUGUUGUACAUGCAUUAAAAAAAUUUCAUUUGCAAAUAUGAAGACUCAAGAAGGUAUAUGGGUUAAGACACAGGAAGGUAUAGUUUCGUUGGUAGGAGAAGGUGUUUGAUAGUAUGCAAGGUAGAUUACAUCAGAUUAUGAACUAAGUAUAAGCUUUCAUUUUCAUUUAAUCCUACCACAUUCAGUUUCCAUUUUUUGAUUUCAUCACUGAGAAUUCAUUUAACCCUAACACAUUCCAAGCAAGUUGAACUCGUGUUUUCUUCUUUAUUAACAAAAUGAAACACGUUAUCACUAAUGUUUAUUCUUUGGUUAACAUAAAAAGCCAUUACUAUCGUUUGUUCUUGGGUUUUCAUUUUACGAAUCAAUGAAAAUCGCUAUCACUAUCGUUCGUUCUUGGGUUUCCCUUUUACAAAACAAUGAAAAACAAAGUCAGAGUAAGAAGACGAAGAAAGGAGAACAAAAUUCUUGUACUUAUUCAUCACGUUUAUGGUAUGUAAACUAUUCACCAUGCAAGUAAGAUACGUUUAUGUUCUUGUUGUUGAAGUUUAUGUUUGAGUUGUUGAUGUUGAAUGUUUAUGGUUGUUGUUGUUCAUGUUUAUGUUGUUGUCAUUGUUUAUGUUCUUUGUUGUUUAUGUUGUUGUUGAAUGUGUAUGAAUAAGGCAACUUAUGUUUUUGUUGAAUGAAUGUUGUUGUUGAAUGUUGUUGUUGUUGUUGAACGUGUAUUAAACACAUUGUUAUUGUUGUUAUUGAUUAUAUGAUACUGUUUUUGAAUAUGUAUGAGACACAUUUGUUAUGUUAUUGUCGAUAAAAAUGUGUGUUAAAAACAUUGUUGUUAUUUAUUUAUUUAUGUUGUUGUUGUUGAAUAUGUAUGAGACACCUUUGUUAUGUUGUUGUUGUUUAUAUGUUACUGUUUAUGAAUGUGAAUUAGACACGUUAUUGGUGUUGUUGUUGUUGUUUGUAUGUUGUUGUUGUUGAUGAAUGCAUAUAAGACACAUUAUUGUUGUUGUUGUAUGUAUGUAUGAUUUUGUUAAGAUUGGUUUAAUAUUUUGUAGUUGUUUUUUUUAACAUAGAUGGACUCUUCAUCUAGCGACGAAACUCGUAAAUAUAAUACCCAUACAAAUGAUUCUCGCAACAAUAAAUCUCAAACUAUAGAGGCAAAAAAGAAAAUAAAAAGAGGUGCUAUAAUGAUGGCUAGAUUAACAAAAAUCCACAACUUGGGCGACUGAUUUCUGAUCGAGUUUAAUCCCGUGACUUGGACAUGUUAUGGUGAAAAAUUUUCGCUUUUUAGGAGUUAUGUUAUAUUUCUAGGAUGUAGCAAAGUGAGUAUUUUUAUUGAUGAUUGGACCUAAGUAUCAAAAGAAGUGAAAAAAAACAUAUGGAUAGAAGUUAAGGUAUUAAUUUGCAUAUAAAUAAUUUUAUAGUAUUUAUUAUAAUUACUAAUAUAUACUUAUUGAUGUAACUGUAGUCGGCUUUUGAAUUUACCGAUGAUGAUAAGUUGGAGAAAAAGUUGAUCACUUAUGCUGUUGAGCGUUAAAGGGGUGUUAAGUCACAUCUAACGCGUAACUACAUUAGGAAUCCUAAGGUGGAUCUUGCGCAUCCAACUGUGAAAUAUGAUUUUAUUGGCAAGAAGGUUUGGGCAAAAGUUGUGAAGUCUCGCAAUUAUGCGGAUUUAUUGCUUAAAAGUAAAUCGUGAAAUCUAAACAAAGCAAAAAGAACAAAUACUCUCAUGGAUUGUCUCGUGGGGGUUACAGAAAACUUGAGGAAAAAUUGAUUAAUGAAAAAAGAAAACAAAUGGGAAAUAAGGACUCCAUGAUUAUAGUCGGUGCCCAUCCCCACCAUCGGGACAUGAGAAGUGGAAGAGUUCAGCUUUAGAUGCCUCAUGAGCAGUCGUUAAGAAAAUUGGAAAAUUAGUUGAUUGAUAUGGCCAUUGAAGGUACAUUUCUUCCACAACCACGACAUGAUAUAUUAGUCAAAGAAAUGGAAAUAAAGAAGCAUGGUGGUCGUGUACAUGGUUUAGAGAAGGUAUCGGUCUGAGAUUGUAUUUUGGUACAUCGAGAAAAAGCACACACAUGAAAAAGAAAGAGAUGGACGAGAUUGUUGAGAAGAAGUUAGCAAGUGAACGUGAACCGCAAAAGAAAGAGUUAUAAGAUUUAAAGGUGUUGUACAAUAAGAAGUUGGAAGAUACGUUGACACAUGAGUGGGAAAUUCGUAGGAAAGAAAUGGACGAGUUUGUUGGGGUAUGUGAAAUGGUGUUUUAUCAGAUAAAUAGGAUUUUAGUGUUUGGAUUACAAAAAAGUAAAUGACCAGUUUGUGAUUGUACUUAAUUAGGUUUCCUUGAUAAAUUAGUAGUUUUAUUAAUCUAAGUGAUCCAUCAAAACAAAUGUUUCUCAAUUAUCAAUAUGGAUUCAAGUAAGUAUUAUAAAUAGUUUUACACCCUACACUCUAUGUUUACAAGUAACUGGUUCUACUAUUUGAAUUCAAUCAGGACAAGACAGGAAGUCCAACUAUAGUCUCAAGUCUCCCUUUCAUUCAAUUAAUAUGUAUAAAAGCAUACAACUGUGUUA